rnacentral:rRNA from 1 species
CCUACGGGUGGCAGCAGUGAGGAAUAUUGGUCAAUGGACGAGAGUCUGAACCAGCCAAGUAGCGUGAAGGAUGAAGGAUCUAUGGUUUGUAAACUUCUUUUAUAGGGGAAUAAAGGUAUCCACGUGUGGAUAUUUGCAUGUACCAUAUGAAUAAGGAUCGGCUAACUCCGUGCCAGCAGCCGCGGUAAUACGGAGGAUCCGAGCGUUAUCCGGAUGUAUUGGGUUUAAAGGGAGCGUAGGUGGAUUGUUAAGUCAGUUGUGAAAGUUUGCGGCUCAACCGUAAAAUUGCAGUUGAAACUGGCAGUCUUGAGUACAGUAGAGGUGAGCGGAAUUCGUGGUGUAGCGGUGAAAUGCUUAGAUAUCACGAAGAACUCCGAUUGCGAAGGCAGCUCACUGGACUGCAACUGACACUGAGGCUCGAAAGUGUGGGUAUCAAACAGGAUUAGAUACCCGAGUAGUC